GAGUUUGAUCGUGGCUCAGAUUGAACGCUGGCGGCAUGCCUUACACAUUCAAGUCGAACGGCAGCACGGGAGCUUGCUCCUGGUGGCGAGUGGCGAACGGGUGAGUAAUGCAUCGGAACGUAUCCUGGAGUGGGGGAUAACGUAGCGAAAGUUACGCUAAUACCGCAUAUUCUGUGAGCAGGAAAGCGGGGGACCUUCGGGCCUCGCGCUCUUGGAGCGGCCGAUGUCGGAUUAGCUAGUUGGUGAGGUAAAGGCUCACCAAGGCGACGAUCCGUAGCAGGUCUGAGAGGAUGAUCUGCCACACUGGAACUGAGACACGGUCCAGACUCCUACGGGAGGCAGCAGUGGGAAUUUUGGACAAUGGGGGCAACCCUGAUCCAGCCAUGCCGCGUGAGUGAAGAAGGCCU
rnacentral:rRNA from 1 species